UACAGAGGGUGCAAGCGUUGUUCGGAAUUAUUGGGCGUAAAGCGCGCGCAGGUGGUUUCUUAAGUCUGAUGUGAAAGCCCACGGCUCAACCGUGGAGGGUCAUUGGAAACUGGGGAACUUGAGUGCAGGAGAGAAGAGUGGAAUUCCACGUGUAGCGGUGAAAUGCGUAGAGAUGUGGAGGAACACCAGUGGCGAAGGCGACUCUUUGGCCUGUAACUGACGCUGAGGCGCGAAAGCGUGGGGAGCAAACAGG
rnacentral:rRNA from 1 species